GAUGAACGCUGGCGGCGUGCCUAAUACAUGCAAGCCGAGCGAACAGACGAGGAGCUUGCUCCUCUGACGUUAGCGGCGGACGGGUGAGUAACACGUGGAUAACCUACCUAUAAGACUGGGAUAACUUCGGGAAACCGGAGCUAAUACCGUAUAAUAUAUUGAACCGCAUGGUUCAAUAGUGAAAGACGGUUUUGCUGUCACUUAUAGAUGGAUCCGCGCCGCAUUAGCUAGUUGUUAAGGUAACGGCUUACCAAGGCAACGAUGCGUAGCCGACGUGAGAGGGUGAUCGGCCACACUGGAACUGAGACACGGUCCAGACUCCUACGGGAGGCAGCAGUAGGGAAUCUUCCGCAAUGGGCGAAAGCCUGACGGAGCAACGCCGCGUGAGUGAUGAAGGUCUUCGGAUCGUAAAACUCUGUUAUUAGGGAAGAACAAAUGUGUAAGUAACUAUGCACGUCUUGACGGUACCUAAUCAGAAAGCCACGGCUAACUACGUG
rnacentral:rRNA from 1 species